AUGUUUACAAUUAACAUUCCAAAACAAAAAUAAAAAAAAGCUGGUGGCAGAUGAGGAAAACAAUAUGUAGAUGUUACAGUCAAGUUGCUUUUGAUUGCAUCGGUGCUGUCCCAUAAUAUAUGUACCUUUAUGAACAAUCCUGAUUGCCUGGCAUCAUGUAGCCACAUAAGGCUGGAUGUUUAUUUGCAAAAACUAUUUGCCCCUGAGGCCCCCAGUUCUGAAAUUCAAAGGCAAAAUAACUGGGACCGUCCAUAGGCUGCUGUUUGCAUACCAGUGAUAUGCCUAAAAUGUUUGUGAAAUGCAGUGAACAACACCCUGUGCCGCAGUUAAAGCUGGAGGCCAAAUGAGAUGGCUGUAAUCCAUUCUAACCUCGAUGUCAUUAAACUGCAAAUCGAACCACAGUGCAAUCAGUCUACCAACUGCACCUAACUGGUGGCGGUGUUCUGCAAGUACUCUGUGAUAGUCCAAAGCCUCAGCAUUUGUGUUUGGUGGCUACAAUUCAACUGACUGUGGACAAACUCCAUUCAGAAAGCAUCUGUAGUUUAUAACACCUGCCCUGCAGUCUUCCUGCCAAGAAGUAUGACACAGAUUCUCCUCUCUAAAAUGAAGUUUCCAGACCUUGAGGACUGCAUAUUGCAUCAUCAUUCUCUCUUGAAAGCCUGAAGCCACACUACGAGGAAAAAAGACAUCUGUUUGGGAACAGUCAAUGGGAUGGUAGGAAGACGGUUUGCAAAAAGACACUAAAGGUCUGGUGCUUUCCAAAAUGGAAAAUAUACAGGAUGGCUGGUAACAUCAAAUGACCCCAGGUGCACAGAAAAGAUCGUGGGUGGAGGCUGUGCUCUGCUUGCCAUGGGGUCCCUGGCUGCUCUUAGGGGAGCAGCUCCAGGUGCUGCCAGUCACCUCAGCAGCAAAAAGGAAAAAGGGGAGACAUGCAGACAUGGAAUUAAUUUCUCAAAAUUAC
rnacentral:lncRNA from 1 species